UACGUAGGUGGCAAGCGUUGUCCGGAAUUAUUGGGCGUAAAGCGCGCGCAGGCGGUCCUUUAAGUCUGAUGUGAAAGCCCACGGCUCAACCGUGGAGGGUCAUUGGAAACUGGGGGACUUGAGUACAGAAGAGAAGAGUGGAAUUCCACGUGUAGCGGUGAAAUGCGUAGAGAUCCGGAGGAACACCAGUGGCGAAGGCGGCUCGCUGGGCUCUACCUGACGCUGAGGCGCGAAAGCGUGGGGAGCGAACCGG
rnacentral:rRNA from 1 species